rnacentral:rRNA from 1 species
UACAGAGGGUGCAAGCGUUAAUCGGAAUUACUGGGCGUAAAGCGUGCGUAGACGGUUAUGUAAGCCAGAUGUGAAAGCCCCGGGCUCAACCUGGGAAUUGCAUUUGAGACUGUGUAGCUAGGGUGCGGAAGAGGGAAGCGGAAUUUCCGGUGUAGCGGUGAAAUGCGUAGAUAUCGGAAGGAACACCAGUGGCGAAAGCGGCUUCCUGGUCCAGCACCGACGUUCAGGCACGAAAGCGUGGGGAGCAAACAGG